UAGGGAAUCUUCCACAAUGGACGAAAGUCUGAUGGAGCAACGCCGCGUGAGUGAAGAAGGUUUUCGGAUCGUAAAGCUCUGUUGUUGGUGAAGAAGGAUAGAGGCAGUAACUGGUCUUUAUUUGACGGUAAUCAACCAGAAGUCACGGCUAACUACGUGCCAC
rnacentral:rRNA from 1 species